UACGAACUGUGCGAACGUUAUUCGGAAUCACUGGGCUUACAGGGUGCGUAGGCGGCUCAACAAGUCAGGUGUGAAAGCCCCCGGCUCAACCGGGGAACUGCGCUUGAAACUGUUAGGCUCGAGUCAGCUAGAGGUACACGGAACUUCCAGUGGAGCGGUGAAAUGUGUUGAUAUUGGAAGGAACACCGGAGGCGAAAGCGGUGUACUGGGGCUGGUCUGACGCUGAGGCACGAAAGCCAGGGGAGACGAACGGGAGUU
rnacentral:rRNA from 1 species